GACAGAGGUCCCGAGCGUUAGGCGGAAUCACUGGGCUUAAAGCGUGUGUAGGCGGAUUUGUAAGUACCUUGUGAAAUCCCACAGCUUAACUGUGGAACUGCUUGGUAUACUGCCAGUCUUGAGCCAGCUAGGGGCUACCGGAACAAAUGGUGGAGCGGUGAAAUGCGUAGAUAUCAUUUGGAACGCCAAUGGUGAAAACAGGUAGCUGGGGCUGUGCUGACGCUGAGACACGAAAGCCAGGGGAGCAAACGGG
rnacentral:rRNA from 1 species